rnacentral:pre_miRNA from 1 species
UCUUCAUUCCGCACGCUCUCUCGUCAAUAGAGCAGGCGAGAAAGUGUGCGAAAUGAAGAGA